ensembl:lncRNA
CAGACUCAUAAUUCAUGCUCUGCAAAGAGCUUCCUUUACAAAACACUUGCUUGCAAGAACAGGAAAAGACAUAUGGUCACACGAGGUAUUUUGUAUAAAUCAGUUUUCCAGUAAAGUUAAUUCACAAUCAUGCCUUAAAUGUGGAAAAAAAAAAUGCUGAAAUAUGAAGAUAAAUCAUUUUAAAUUCAAAGGAAUAUUAACUGAAAUGUUAUCAGUCAAACGCACCUGCUUUACUGUCACGUUUGAAUAAAGGUAAAGAGGUUAAGGGCAAAUACACUCUGUGGUGAAUUAUGGUGGUUUUUGCUCUCAGAUUGCAUGACAGAGCAUCUGAUGGAUAUUGCUCAACAAUUAUGGUAAGAGCUGGUGGUAAUAGAGUUCAAAUUUGAUUGGUUUGCUUUCCAGGAGUGAUAGUGCACUUGUUUUAAUCAUUCUGCUGGGAAACAAAGGCAUUUGCAAGUUACAAUUGACCAUAUCCAUGGAAGAGCACGAUGCUACAUUCGCCAAAAUUUGCAAGGUUUGGGAAAAAUUGAAGAAUUGACUCCCCUUCAGUUUGUCAGUGUGAAACUGAAUUAAAUUGGCUACACUUCCAAGACAUCCAACAGAGCGGGCCACGGGUUUUAUUGCAUCCACUGAAAAUGGAUAUUUAACAAAUCGUUGAACACAUUUUUAUGUGGCCGUAGGCUGUGGCAAAGAAGAGCAGCGAAAUUCAUAAGGCUCACUGCUACACGUGGGUGGGAAAUAUAUUUUAUGAAAAAAAAAAAAAAUCACAGACUGCACUUUCUUCUUUGCAGGGGUUUUAGGAUAGCGAGAGGACAGGAAAUGAUUGGAGGAAGAGAAGGAAAUGGGAACUCAAACUCCAGCAGGUUUGUUAAUUUCAAUAGAUUUUAGCCACACAGUCUUUCCGCUAUUAGUUCAAACAUGGAAAGGACAAGUCGCCGAGGCAAUCUCUCAUUUCAUAAGCAUUUGAGAGAGAAAGAAAGUGAUGGUCAGCUGGAGGACAGGUGCUGUGAGGUGAUUCACUCCUUGCACGGAUGAAUUAAAUGAAACUAUUAUAUUUAGUUUGGGUUUGUAAUGAAAGCUGAUGGACAUGCCACCCUUAAGCAUUGUGAAUCAUCUCUGCUGAAAGCCUUUAGUUUUGAAUGCUAUAUGUUCUCGGUGUCUUCCUAACCAGCUUAACUUGUUUCACCACCAGAUUUGCUGAUGGUUGUUCACCAGAUACACCACUGUCAAACCAGAACAAACAAGCAUGAAAUUAAGGCUUUUCUAAGCCAGGGCUAAUAUAAGAGGCUUUUGCACCGGUAGUUAUAGGAACUCAAUUAUAAGAACUAGUCACCAGGAGGGUUCUCCAAGAACGAAAUUUUCCCCUAGGGCCAUUUUCCUGGUUGCAAAAGGCUUUUGCACCGUGCAGUUCUAGGAACUUGGUUCUGAGUUCAGUUCCCAGAGAACCAGUUUUCUCCUCAGUCCAUUUUCCUGGUUGCACUCACGCCUGCAGCAGGAACUCUGAAGCAGCCUACAGCGACUUUAUGCUAAAAUUUACAAAGGUCAGCAACCAGUGAAUGGGGGACACCGUGAUCGGAGCAGUUUUUGUUGUGUGUCGUGGAUUUCAUGAUAAUGGAGAAGGAAUGUAAACACACAAUUUACGCACCUGAAAGAGCAUGAAAAUCUGACUAAAUCUCUUAUGAUAAUUUGCAAUGUUACAUAUCAUCAAGGCUGAGAAAAGAACACAGUUCUUGGCUAAAUGCCAUUGUUGCUGGUUUACAUGUUUGUGGAGUAAAUAUUUUUACUGAUCCAUAUGACGCCACUGAAUCAAUCAUGAACUGACUUUAACUAACAAAAUUUGAGUGUUUACUAUUGUCCUUUUGCAUUAUCGACACACUGUUUUCCUAUUUAACACUGUAAAGCUGCUUUGAAACAAUCUGUAUUGUUAAAGGGCUAUAUAAAUAAAGGUGAGCUGACUUGACUUGACUUAAAAUCC